UGAGGAAUAUUGGUCAAUGGACGGAAGUCUGAACCAGCCAAGUAGCGUGCAGGAUGACGGCCCUCCGGGUUGUAAACUGCUUUUAGUUGGGAAUAAAAAGAGGGACGUGUCCCUAAUUGUAUGUACCUUCAGAAAAAGGACCGGCUAAUUCCGUGCCAGCAGCCGCGGUAAUACGGAAGGUCCAGGCGUUAUCCGGAUUUAUUGGGUUUAAAGGGAGCGUAGGCGGAUUAUUAAGUCAGUGGUGAAAGACGGUGGCUCAACCAUCGUUAGCCAUUGAAACUGGUAGUCUUGAGUGCAGACAGGGAUGCUGGAACUCGUGGUGUAGCGGUGAAAUGCUUAGAUAUCACGAUGAACUCCGAUCGCGAAGGCAGGUGUCCGGGCUGCAACUGACGCUGAGGCUCGAAAGUGUGGGUAUCAAACAGGAUUAGAUACCCUGGUAGUCCACACAGUAAACGAUGUAUACUCGCGGUUUGCGAUACAAUGUAAGCCGCCAAGCGAAAGCAUUAAGUAUACCACCUGGGGAGUACGCCGGCAACGGUG
rnacentral:rRNA from 1 species